AGGUCUUGGACUUGACCUUUUCUCUGUCUCUACGGGUCUUGGCCUUGCCUCGGUCUCUAAAGGUCUUGGCCUUGUCUCUGUCUCUGAAGGUCUUAGCCUUGUCUCUGUCUCAGCCUCUAAAGAUCUUGUCCUUGGUGGUCUCUAUAGGUCUUGGUCUUGUCUCAGCCUCUAAAGGUCUUGGCCUUGUCUCCGUCUCAACCUCUAAAGGUAUUAACCUUGACUUGGUCUCGGGCUCUAAGGGUCUAGCCCUUGUUGGUCUCUAUAGGUCUUGACCUUGUCUCGGUCUCUAAAGGCCUCGGCCAUGUCUUGACCCUGUCUUGUUCUCUGGCUCUAAAGGUCUAGCCUUGUUGGUCUCUAAAGGACUUGACCUUGUCUCUGUCUCUAGAGUUCUUGGCCUUGUUCUGGGCUCGGCCUCUCUAGGUCCUGGACUUGCCUCUGUUUUUAUUUUUUCUUCUAAAGGUCCUGGUCUUGGUUUCAGCCUCUAAAAAUCUUGGCCUUGUCUCGGCCUCUGAUGGUCUUGACCUUGUCUUGGUCUCAGGCUCUAAAAGUCUAGCCCUUGUUGGUCUCUAAAGAUCUCCACCUUGUCUUGGUCUCUAAAGGCCUUGGCCUUGCUCUGUCUUGGCCUCUUUAGGUCUUGGUCUUGUCUCUGUUUUUUUCCUUUAAC